UGGAGGUUACGUCACAGCCAAGGGGAGGGAAGGGGGAUGAUAUCACCCCGAGCUGAGGACUAACUCCUCCCUCAUGCUAACCACACCUCCACCAGCUCACCUGCCAAGGGCUCCUGAAAUUACCUGCAGUUCUGCCAGCCCUGGUGGAGCUGGCAAGGGAGAACCAGCCCAAAUAUUUAGGAGUUCAAUUCAAUUAUAGGGGACUGAAGAGUUCAGAGUACACAGAAGCAAGAUCAAGACUAUCUGUGCUUGACUCAAGAGAUGGAAUCCCAGUGCAGCUGGAUUAUUGUCCCUAUGGAAAGGCAAGCAGUGAAAACCCAACUCCUGCACAGGUAACUCGAGCUAGUUCUGCUGGGAAAAGAGCAGGGAUGUUUGGAACACAGGUCAGUCUUACAUCUCUCCACUUGUGGCUUACCCAGAAAUACAAAUUCUCUCUGCUCACACGUGGGCUGUCUCAGCUAAAGCACAAAAUUGGGAUGAGCUGGCUCCAAACCAACCACAGGAGGACACACACUACCUGUGGCAAUAUAAAAGUGCCAGUUGCACAUCAAAAGAACAAGUCUGGAUAAAAAGAAGUCAGCACCAGAUAUUUGCUUUGCACCAUGAAAGUUUAGCUGUUCUAGAAAUAGGAGUCCAAAAGCCUGAUUCACUCCACUGCUAAACUCCAUCCCAGGACACAAAAUAAAGAUAUUGCUAAAGCACAACAGGUCAAAACAAACUCAAGAAGCCAAAGUGAAGGGAAAGAGGCUAUGAGGCUGAUUAGAUGAGAAUUACAGGAAAAAUGCAGUCUAUUCCAAAAUGACAGGUGAUUCAGAAAGGGAGAAAGAGUGGAGAGAAUUCAGAGGAGAAGCAAUUUCAUAAGCUUAUGACAUUUCAAUGUCUAAUUGACUGGACUGAGCAGACAUUUUGAUGGGCCCAGGCCCACUCCAAUCCUAAAUUAACAUCUCAGGAAUGUCAUCUCACCCCCUCACAGCACAGAUAAGUGGGUCACUGCUAAAUUGACUGGUUCUCAAUUCUGAGCUUGUGGGGCCCUUGAAAUAAAGUUCUCUAAGCUGGGGAGGUGCUGGAGCUCCUUGGGCAACACCAGGAGGGGAGUUUGUUCCAGUGCAGCAUCAAACA